UCAUCAAUCGCUCUUUCCAAAUCAUCCAAGUAUGUCUUAGUAGCCCCUCGAAGCACGAUUGUUGCAGUACGUGUAAUAUCCUCAACUUGACGGAAUACAGUGACACGAUCACCACCAAUCUCAAUCGUCUCAACAACAUCGACGGAUCCCAUCUCUUCAGGCAUGGGAACACCCAUACGAGCCAACGGGGUAGCGCCAACCACCCGACAUAAGCGACGUAAUUCAAAUUUGCUUGGCACACGAAUAACAAGGAUUUCAAAUCUAUUCAAAUAAUGUAAAACUAAGUCAUUGACAUUGCCACUAGUGACAACUACCCUAACACCAGCAUCGUAAAUUUCUUUAAUGUGAGACUCAAUAAGGUUCUCCUCUCCUUUAGAAAAGUCAAGCAUUUCUUGAGCAUUAUGCAACAAUACUGUGCCUUUUGUUUCGGUUUGAGAAAUAUCCAAAGGGCAUGAAAAAACAGCAACUUUAGCUUCUUUUGAACGUGUAACGGUGCCCUCUGGCUCUCUAGGAAAUACCAUGCCCUUUACAACCUGAGAGUUAUAAAGGCUACUUCCCAUAAUUUUAACCACACGGAUAUUGUCAACGUUAAACUUGGAUGGAUCUUUGGGAAGAACUGUGAGGAUCGCUUUAGCAACUAAAUCCGAAAGGAAAUCUUCAUUUCCAUAUUGCUUAGAAGAUAUACAAGUUCGAAUUGCUUUAAUAAGCUCCUUCUCACUUUCAACAGUCUCAAUUUUAUCAGCACAAAUUU